UAGGGCGACGUGUGGCGGAUUACCCAUUCCCUCCCUCUCCUCGCUUCACGCACACACACACACACACACACGCACGCACCAUUGUCAUCCUAAUAAUCAUAACCAAGAGUUUUUGUGCUUCGUGAUAGGCUUCUGUGGCGGACAUGGAGCUGCUGCUGACUCUGCCGUCCCCUCUGGAGGGGAUCGAGCGCUACUUAGUGGGUGACAGGCUCCAGCUGACGCUGGAGGAGGCCGGCGAGCUCUCCAGCCGCUACCACGCAGCGGUGGAACUGCACCUUCGCAGCAGCAGCAGCCGCGAAGCCGUGAGGGAUGAGGCGGCAGAGGAUGGCAUUGUGUCAGCUCUCACGUUCGCCCUGCGCCUCUUUAACGCCGAGAACUUCUCGGGCGAGCUCACCGCGGCGGAGAGGGCACGCUACGGUGCCGUCUUGAACCACUUUGGUGGAACUCUGCCCAAAGGCUACGAGGGCCCGGAUGGGAGGAACAGCGACAACGAAGAGGAGGCGGCAGCGCCGGUUUCCACGUCCCCGGUGGCUCCUUCCUCGGCCACGGCUCUGACCGCCGCUCAGCGCGAGCGGCUGCAAGACCUGUUUCUCCAGCGGCUGCUGACGACGGAUGGCGAAAUGCCGGUGCCGGCGAUGCGCCUUCCUGGCCUUCUCCUCUGCAUUAUCAGUAUUGCCAAGGCAGAGCUCGAGCCGGGUGUGCCGCUGGUGCCGCUGACCUCCCCGUGGCGUCUGCGCGCUUUCUUCCGCCACCAGCUAUGCCUCUCCCAUCGCUCCAACACGGUCUUUCUGGCGUUGGCGGCAUGCGUCGACGCCGUGCUGCGGCUGCCGAGCGAGGAGCAGACGGUCGAGAUGCUGCUGGAGGUGGGCCAGGUGCAGGGCUACUACCACCGCCGCGAUCUGGCAAAAAUUACGUUCGAGGCGGCCAUGCGCCUUAGCGGGCUGCGCGUGGAAGAGACGUCGAUGAUGGGGGUGCGCACCCGCUGGCAGCAGAACCAGCAUGUCCAGAUGGUGCUGAACGCGACAAGUAGCCGCCCUGUUCCUCCCCAGUCCAUGCUGGAGGAACAGCCGAAGACGAUCAUGACGGAAAAGGACGGCCACGACCUGCUCGACCGACCCCGCGAGACGCCCGAGGCGGCUCUCCAGCCCCUCACCCCGCUCCACCCUGAGGACAAGGCAAUUCUCCUUGCUCUCUGCAUGGAUAUCCGCAACAACAACCCCGACCACGGGCUGACGCGGCACCACAUGAUGACGUACAUCGAGCGGCUGCUAGCGGACCCGGCCCCGUCGCCGUUCAUGGUGCGGUGCCAGACGCUGUUGAUGCGCGCGCGCCUCGAAUCACGGCGAAAUCGUGUGCAGGAACGCGCGUUCAUGCAACUCACCGAGUUAGUGGAGCAGUACUCGGCCCGCCGCGACCCCACGCACGAGGUUUUUGGGCGGACGGCCAGCGACUACUUCUACAGCGUCGCCUUCCCGCCGGUGUGGGCGCUCAAGCGCGAAUACGCGGGCUUUUGUUUCGAGGAGACGCUCUACAAAACGGCGCUGGAUGUGUACGAGCAGAUUCUGGACUGGGAGUGCAUCAUCGAGUGCUGCAAGAAGCUCGACAAGCGGCGCCGCGCUGAGAGUCUGGCGCGCCAGCUGUUGGAGACGGAUCCGCUGAACCCGAUGCUGUGGGUCGCGCUCGGCGAGGCGACGCGCGACGACGCGCACCUAUGGAAGGCGUGGGAGCUGUGCGGGCACAAGAUGGCCGCCCCGAUGCGGGCGCUGGCUCGCCUGGCGCUGGACCGGGAACACUACGCCAAGGUAGUCGAGUACUUUGACGAGGCGGUGCGCAUCAACCCCGUUUUUGGCGGGGACUGGUUCGCUCUCGGCUACGCUUCGCUGCGCCUGGAGCGGCUCGGGCGCAGCGGCGAGGCCUUCACGCGUGUCUGCCAGAUCGACCCGAGCGACGCCUUUGGGUGGAAUAACCUGGCUUCUGUCAUGCUGCGCGAGCGCAAGCUUCGGCCAUCCUUCAACGCCAUGAGCCAGGCCAUCCGCAACAACCGCCGCGACUGGCGCAUGUGGCAGAACUAUUUCCGCAUCGGCUGCGAGCUGAAGGAGGUGACGGAGACGACGAACGCUCUCGGCAUCGCGCUGGGCAUCGCGCAGCGGCAGAUCCACCUGGAGCGUGACACGCUGGAGCUGUUUGUGGACAACACGGUCGCCUACUUGAAGGGCGAAAUUCACGGCAGCUCCCUCGACGCCGAUGAAACGGACGGCUCCAAGGCAGACGCGCUCGUCUACCGCAGCCUCGGCAUUCUGCCAGGCGAGAACGACAUCCAUCAUGCCCCGGUGGCGCAGACGAUGACGACAGCGGAAGAGGACGAGGAGAUGGCUGACCUGACGCCGUUGGGAGCGGGUGUAGAGUUGCCGGAGCCCGUGACGGGUGCGGCGGCGGCGCAGACAACGGAGGAGCGCGAUGCCGUCCUUGCAGGAAUCCGUCGCCGUCACGCCGACCGCGUCCGUGCACUGUUUGCCCGUAUCCUCGAGCUCUUCGUCAGCGACCCGGACAUCUACGCGUGCGCCGCGAAGCUCAUGCACUUCUUGGACGGCCCCAUGGCGUCCUUCCGCUACCGCCAGAAGGAGCUGCGCGCGUGCCAGCAGAAGGAGCAGUGGUGCCGCGAGGAGGCUCUGUUCAGCCGCACCGUGGAGUGCCUGGAGGCAAUGGCCUCCGACGUCUUCGAGGCCUUCGGUGAAGCGCAGGACGGCGGCGCUGCCGCAGCGACGGUGCCGUAUGCGCAGACGACUCCUGCAGGUGCCGAGGGUGCGCCGCAGGCGCCAAUACCGCUUGCUGGCGAGGCACUGCAGCAGGCCAUCGUCGACGCCUUCAAGGAGAUACAAACAAACAUCAAGGGGGCUCUCGACGCGGCCGAGGAGCACAUGGAGGAGCACGCAGUGUACAAGCGGCUGCGCGAGCUCUCCACGCGCGUGCGCCGCGGCGCGCAAGGAGCAAAGGUGGCGUUUCUCUGAGGGGGGCAGGAGAUAGGGGGUAGAGAGGGAGCCAUGGAGAUGUGCACAGGAGGGGCAGACACGCGCGGCAGUUUGUUCGGUGCGCUGCUGCCACCUCCUCCUAACGCCCCCCCCCCCCCCCCCCCCCCCCCCGUGCUUUCCUCAGCCCCUUUCCGCACCCGCGCAAAGUCUAGCACCCCCAGCCCCAGCCCCAGGACUUACCAUUCUUUUCCUGCGUCGUCGACGCUCUCUCUCUAACUCAAGUACCACUCGAUUGCCGUAAUCUUUUGCCGCCAUGGCGGAUC
rnacentral:misc_RNA from 1 species